UUUUGCAAGGAAACUUGGAUGGUCAAAGCUAAAGUUGGAUUUCAUGUGUUACUUGGUUCGGGAAAUUGGACUUGAAGUGUAAGUCAUGCGGUCAAGAACUAGAUUUUCAAGGGUAAGUGGAAUUGAAUCUCUAUUUCAAUUAAGAUGGCGUUUGUGCUUGUAAGUGAGAUAAGGACUUAUUGUAGUUCUAUAUACUGUUGGCAUUGAGUUGUUAAAUACUAUAUCGUUUUAUUAUAUGCUUGGAUAUCGGCACUGGGUGUGCUGUCUGAUAUCGGCACUGUGGGUGCUGUCUGAUAUUCUGAUUGAUUUUGUAUGAUUGUACCUCCUUCUGAUA